rnacentral:rRNA from 1 species
GACGAACGCUGGCGGCGUGCUUAACACAUGCAAGUCGAACGAUGAAGCCUAGCUUGCUAGGUGGAUUAGUGGCGAACGGGUGAGUAAUACGUGAGUAACCUACCUUUAACUCUGGGAUAAGCCCGGGAAACUGGGUCUAAUACCGGAUACGACCAAUCUCCGCAUGGGUUGUUGGUGGACAGCGUUAUGUAGUGGUUAUAGAUGGGCUCACGGCCUAUCAGCUUGUUGGUGAGGUAACGGCUCACCAAGGCGACGACGGGUAGCCGGCCUGAGAGGGUGACCGGCCACACUGGGACUGAGACACGGCCCAGACUCCUACGGGAGGCAGCAGUGGGGAAUAUUGCACAAUGGGCGCAAGCCUGAUGCAGCGACGCCGCGUGAGGGAUGACGGCCUUCGGGUUGUAAACCUCUGUUAGCAGGGAAGAAGAGAGAUUGACGGUACCUGCAGAGAAAGCGCCGGCUAACUACGUG